UUGACCUCAGAUCAGGUAUGAUUACCCGCUGAGUUUAA
rnacentral:rRNA from 1 species